rnacentral:lncRNA from 1 species
CGAUGUCGUCUGUUGUCAACGUGUGUAAACAACUUCCAAGUUACAGCUCAUCGCUCAGAAGAAAGGAAGGUUUAUCAUAAAGGAUAAAUGCAUGCGUUCUUUAAAAAUAAAGAAUAUGAAUAGCUUCAGCCUGAAAGUUCACACAGUCUUAAAUGAUUCUCAACUUAUAAUAUCAUAUGAUAUAAGUUUUUGAGAGUUGGAGAAAUUCGGCGUCCGAUCACAGACAGUGAUGUUUCGUUUGACGGAACCUGGAAAGAAGGUCGACGGCUAGCUCUGAUGAUCACCUAGCGCAGAAUAUGUUCGUUAAGAUGCAAAACUGUCCCCUGCGGAUACUGUCUGUGAACGGAAAUACGACCUUCAAGGCUUGGACCAGGAGGUGGAGGCCGUGGAGCAUUUUGUCCAUACCAUAUCGUUGUAGCUGCAGUGCAUGUAACCUGCAUAUCAUGUGUGACAGUGUAGAAACGAGGGGGAAAAUGGGACUGGUGAAUUUGUUAUCAAUUCAAAAGCUGCACAUGGUAAGA